AUUGAACGCUAGCGGCAUGCUUUACACAUGCAAGUCGAACGGUAACAGGCCGCAAGGUGCUGACGAGUGGCGAACGGGUGAGUAAUGCAUCGGAACGUGCCCAGUCGUGGGGGAUAACGCAGCGAAAGCUGCGCUAAUACCGCAUACGAUCUAUGGAUGAAAGCGGGGGACCGUAAGGCCUCGCGCGAUUGGAGCGGCCGAUGUCAGAUUAGGUAGUUGGUGGGGUAAAGGCUCACCAAGCCAACGAUCUGUAGCUGGUCUGAGAGGACGACCAGCCACACUGGGACUGAGACACGGCCCAGACUCCUACGGGAGGCAGCAGUGGGGAAUUUUGGACAAUGGGCGCAAGCCUGAUCCAGCAAUGCCGCGUGCAGGAAGAAGGCCUUCGGGUUGUAAACUGCUUUUGUACGGAACGAAACGGUCCUGGUUAAUACCUGGGGCUAAUGACGGUACCGUAAGAAUAAGCACCGGCUAACUACGUGCCAGCCGCCGCCGUAAAAC
rnacentral:rRNA from 1 species